GGGAGGCCACGCCCCCGGCGGAGCUGCGUGUUCGUCCGCGAGGCCGGGCUAAACUCUAGUCCUGGGGCCCAGGGUGUUUUUCCUGCGCAGAACGUCACAGAGAUAAAUUACUGUUACAGAGUCUUUCAGACUGACUUUUUUCACUUACAGUGCAGCUCCAGUCCUGACCUUCACCUUGGACAUCCUCUCCUGGCUGGCAGCACAGACCUUCAGUCUUCCAUCGCAGACCCUUUGGCCUUCUGAUAUGGACUCCCACAGGGCGCUACAUUGAGCUCCAGGCCUUCGCCUGGGUCCUUAGGAUCUCCAGUGUACAGACAGCCCUUUUGCACCUUUCCACACUGACUCUGUGGGUGGCCAUUGUAAGCCCAUCUUGUAAGCUCUUAUAUAUUUGUAUAUCUUGCCUUAAAUCUGUUUUUCUA